GAGGUAUGAGGAAAACAUCUGAACAGUCUUGAUUGUCUCUGAAGACUGAUAAGAUCCAACUCUGACCUCAACAAAACC
ensembl:snoRNA SNORD19 small nucleolar RNA SNORD19